rnacentral:rRNA from 1 species
UACAGAGGGGGCAAGCGUUAUUCGGAAUUAUUGGGCGUAAAGGGCGCGUAGGCGGCUUGACAAGUGGCGGGUGAAAUCCCUCGGCUUAACCGAGGAACUGCCUGCCAGACUGUCUUGCUUGAGACCGGGAGAGGUGAGUGGAAUUCCCAGUGUAGCGGUGAAAUGCGUAGAUAUUGGGAGGAACACCAGUGGCGAAGGCGGCUCACUGGACCGGAACUGACGCUGAGGCGCGAAAGCUAGGGGAGCAAACAGG